rnacentral:lncRNA from 1 species
UACAACUGGUUUUUGCAAACUUGAGUAAGAUAUGUAGUAAAGUACAAGAAAAGUAUCAUCAGUUUACUUUUCAUUCUCCUCCAGUCCCCAGUGAUUUUCGGCAUUAAUUACAAAGGAAUUUCACAUUUCAGGAAACGCAGUCACCCUAACAGAUUUCUUCAGGUCUUGAUCAAACGGACACUUGGCAGGAAGUCUUGUCUGAGAAGAGUCCCAGCCAGCAAGGGUAGAUUUAAACAGAACACCCUGCAACCUGCUCCCCGCCGGGUCCCUACAGGGCCCAUCAAAGAGCACUCAGGUACCUGAAGCACGUGGUUGUCCUCUGGGCCCAAAUCCCAGGACGAACACUGGGCAUGGGGCCAAGGACUGAUGUUCUAAGGGAAAAUGAACAAAGGAUUUC